rnacentral:RNase_P_RNA from 1 species
AGUCUGCCGGUCUGUCGCUGGUCGCUUCGUGCGGCGAGAGGAAAGUCCGGGCAACAGAGAGCAAUCCGCUUCCUAACGGGAAGUAGUCCGCAAGGAUUAGUCGAUGCAGAAGAGAACGACCGCCGUGAGAUUCGCCUCGCGGUAAGGGUGAGAAGGUGGGGCAAGAGCCCACCAGGCGCAUGGCGACAUGCGUGCUGUGCAUUCCGGAUGUUGAAAGUUCAUGUAAACCGGCGCUUGAGGGCUGCUCGUCCGAGCCGGAGGGUGGAACGAUAGAGGCCGGCUGGAGACAGCGGCCGUAGAUAAAUGACAGACGCUCCGACAAGGAGCACGGAACCCGGCUUACAGGCGGUCUC